AAACCACCUCCUAAGUUUUGCAAUUGUAGCAGUUUUGGCCCACAAGGCCAAUUUUUGGUAAAAAAAAAAUAACACGUGGCACCUCAUUUAGGGUGCCACGUCCGGGUAGACCGAGUUAAAAUUGGCUUUGGGGGCCAAAACUGUCACAAAUGUAAAACUUAGGUGGUGGUUU
rnacentral:pre_miRNA from 1 species